CAGUAGCCGCGGUAAUACGUAGGUCCCGAGCGUUGUCCGGAUUUAUUGGGCGUAAAGCGAGCGCAGGCGGUUUGAUAAGUCUGAAGUAAAAGGCUGUGGCUUAACCAUAGUAUGCUUUGGAAACUGUCAAACUUGAGUGCAGAAGGGGAGAGUGGAAUUCCAUGUGUAGCGGUGAAAUGCGUAGAUAUAUGGAGGAACACCGGUGGCGAAAGCGGCUCUCUGGUCUGUAACUGACGCUGAGGCUCGAAAGCGUGGGGAGCAAACAGGAUUAGAUACCCCGGUAGUCCCUGUCUCUUAUACA
rnacentral:rRNA from 1 species